UCCAGACUCCUACGGGAGGCAGCAGUAGGGAAUAUUGCUCAAUGGGGGAAACCCUGAUGCAGCGACGCCGCGUGAGUGAAGAAGCGUUUCGGCGCGUAAAGCUCUUUCAGCAGGGAAGAAAGAAAUGACGGUACCUGACCAAGAAGCCCCGGCUAACUACGUGCCAGCAGCCGCGGUAAUACGUAGGGAGCAAGCGUUGUCCGGAAUUACUGGGCGUAAAGGGCGCGUAGGUGGGCGCUUAAGUCAGGUGUGAAAACUCCGGGCUCAACCUGGAGACUGCACUUGAAACUGGGUGUCUUGAGGGCAGGAGAGGAAAGUGGAAUUCCUAGUGUAGCGGUGAAAUGCGUAGAUAUUAGGAGGAACACCAGUGGCGAAGGCGACUUUCUGGACUGUACCUGACGCUGAGGCGCGAAAGCGUGGGUAGCGAACGGGAUUAGAUACCCGAGUA
rnacentral:rRNA from 1 species